AAAUUUUCACCCAGGACCGGCAGCGCCAAAUUUUCAUCCCCAAAUUAAUAUCUCAGCCCACCUUCAAAUCCGCCUCCACCUCUUUCAAACCAAAAAAAAAAAAUGCCCCCUUCUCCCAAAAUCUAGGGUUUCUCUCGCUCUCUUGAGACCCCUUUUCUGGCUGCUCUCGCUCUUCUUCUUCCUCAAUCCCCUCAAUUUCUCAAGCGGACUCUGAUUCUUCUCUCGUCGACGGUGACCAGAUCCCCGAUUCGUCACUUGAAGAAGUUUUGGAGAAUCCCCAACUUCUCUGCUUCGUCUCCGGUUAAUUCUACGGUGACCAGAUCCCCGAUUCUAAGUUAUUUUGUGAACCAGGUUCCCUUUCAUUGCUUGUGAAAUUUUCACUUGUGAGAUUGAUGUUAUUUUGAAGACAUUAGUAGAGGACGAAGAGCUGAUGGAUCUGCUAUUCUCCUUUCUUGAACCAAACCAUACACACAAUUCCUUAUUGUCUGGAUACUUCAGCAAGGUGGUUGUAUGCUUAAUGUUAAGGAAGACAACAUCACUUAUGAAGUAUGUUCAGGUAAGUUAUUGACCCAUGUGAGCUGCUUUUUUGAAAAACUAUUUUCUUUCACAGCUUCAAAUAAUUAUUUGAUUUCCUUUUUAGCUUAUUUCCUGUUUAAACCUGAAUCUAGCUAUAUAAAUAUUUUAAUUUUAUGUUGAUAAUAUUUGCACUUUCUUUUUAUCUCUUGAAAAGUUAUUUAUCUUCGAAUACACAAGGAGAAAACCACAAGCAUUAAGUUCUUGAUAUUUUGUCUGUAUGCUGUAUUGAUUAUAAUUGUUAGUUUUAUAACCUUGUCUGUGCUACUUUUUUAACUUAGAAUCAGUCAUGUUUUGUAUACCGACCAUGUUGGUAUUUACACAUGCUUUGGGUUAAGUAGUAUAAAGUUUUUGAACUUACAAACAUAUGUUAUACAUUCACGUCUUUCCAUUUUGGAGUAAGGCUAGGUAUUCAAUCUGUACAAUUCCUUUGUUUCACUU